rnacentral:rRNA from 1 species
AUUGAACGCUGGCGGCAGGCCUAACACAUGCAAGUCGAGCGAGCGGCGGACGGGUGAGUAAUGUCUGGGAAACUGCCUGAUGGAGGGGGAUAACUUCUGGAAACGGUAGCUAAUACCCCAUACCAUCAGAUGUGCCCAGAGGGGAUUAGCUAGUUGGUGGGGUAACGGCUCACCAAGGUGACGAUCCCUAGCUGGUCUGUGAGGAUGACCAGCCACACUGGAACGGAGACACGGUCCAGACGCCUACGGGAGGCAGCAGUGGGGAAUAUUGCGCAAUGGGCGAAAGCCUGAUGCAGCCAUGCCGCGUGUGUGAAGAAGGCCUUCGGGUUGUAAAGCACUUUCAGCGGGGAGGCGGUACCCGAAGAAGAAGCACCGGCUAACUCCGUGCCAGCAGCCGCGGUAAUAC